AUAGUACCCUCAACUUGUUCUGUCUCUUCACAGUACAGUUUGGUUGGAGCUGGCUGUGAACAAAGACUACCUUUCUUCUGAGCAUUUGUCACAUUCUUCCAUGGACAGCAGGGAAAGAAUGGGUGUGACUCACUGACUGCCCCUAUUAUGAUUAAUUUUGAAGAAUGUCAAAAAAGGGAUACGAUCACAGAACUGAGUUAAAGAGUCCAUCUACUUCAAUCAGCUUGCAAUUUAUAAGUAGGCUUGUAUCACAUGGAGAGAGCAGUUUUCUAAUGGAUCCAUCCAAAAGUCUGUGCAUUACAACAAAAAUUUCAUGCUGUCAUGUAUGGAUCAUAACCAGCUGUUUUUGAAGAGAUUACGUAUUCAGCAAAAGCAAAGUAUUUUUACCAAUCUCUUGACCAGGGCAAUGUAUUCAUGGAGUACACUGAAAGAAGAUCAUCCUUUGCCAAACAACCUAUCUUGGACUCUUUACAGAAAUAUUCUAUUGCACAAUCUCUGUUAUAAAAAAGUUUACAUUCACAAAUCUUGUCAGUUCACGAAGUUUAUCAGAUUUAAUUUGUUCCAUGACAACAAUGAUUAACAAAGUAGAGCUGGUAAAAAAAAACAUGCAUUAUGUUACAGGUGGUCUCAGCACCAUAUGAAAUUUUUUAAUAAUGAUUUGUAAUGAUUUGUCCUUCAGUAGUCCUUCGCUUUCAUUUUCAAAUGAAGGAAAUAUCACAGCUGCUUAGGUCUUGGAAUAAUCUCAUCCGGCCAAACAAGUGACCUCAGAAUGAAGCCAAAAAUGUAGGUUCUGUGUACCAUGAAGAUUCUACAUUUGGUUGGGUAUGAACAAAAUUUUUUCAGAUGCUCAAGCCCCUAAUAGCUAAAAAGAAUACACCAUUUGUAUGAAAAUAAAUGUACACAAUAACAUGGCUCGACAAAACUCCUUUAAAAACAAACUUCACAGGUAACUAUUUAUUUAACUCCUUUUCCCUACAAACAGGAUGAUAGAUCACUGCAAGGCAACACCAUUUUUCAUGAACCUGUCUUUUAGGAGUUUGCUUCACCAGAUAGUAUGAUCUUUGAAAUGAAAUGUAUUUCAUUCUUAAAAAUGGCUAAAAGAAUAUUUUUUCCAACACAGAAGUGUCCUCCCCAGCCAUAUGUAAAGCCCAGGUACUGUUAAUGGGGUCAGUCCUUCACCCAGAGGCACACGGAGUCAUUUAGAGUUAAAGAAGCACACAAGGUUUUUUCUUUUUUUUUGAUAGCGAAAUGUGGACCAAUCUAUGAGUGAAUGAAUAAGAAGCAAAAAGGAGAAGGAGAGACAAGAUGUAACCAUGUGCCCUCUGAAAUGUAUUGUAUUUGCACACUGGAUGGCACCUUAGCUGUUCCAGCAUUAUUAAAGAUGUUAUGUUUGUAGCAGUUUUUGUUGACUACUUUUGUAUGUCUGUGUGCAGGACACACAUUAAAAAUAAAUCAUUCCAAGUGA